rnacentral:ncRNA from 1 species
UUAAAUACAGUGACAGGGAAGAGUACAAUUGCAGACCCCUUUAGAGAGGGAAACCAUCAGCUGAAAGGUUUCUCAGGAACGUCGGAUUGGAAGGUCGCCCUUGAGUAGUUUCAGCGAACGCACUGCGUCUAGUAGUUGAAACCGGUGGAGAGCCGUUAACAGGUUUGAGUGUACAGGGGAUAGUCUAUCUAUUUAUACCCUGUAAAAAAAGGUGGUACCGCGAAACUUAACUCCUUUCGUCCUUUUA